UAUUCCAAAAGUUGAUAUCAACCCAACCGUCUCUUAAACAGUUGAAGCGUUCACCUUCAAAUUAAUCUCCUUACGUUUCCUCUUCAUCUUCUUCGUUACACGACCCAUCUCUCUAAUUAUAUAGCCAAGAAUGGAAGACGAAGCAGAGAUAUACGACGGAAUCCGAGCUCAGUUCCCGCUCGCAUUUGGAAAACAAUCGAAACCCCAAACCUCUCUCGAAAAAGUCCACGACGCCACUCGCCGAUCUGAACAACCGCCUUCCCCCACCACCACCACCACCACCACCAAUACCCAAGUUUUCGUCCUCAAAAGCUGAAAAAUACAAAAGGGAUUCUGGCUAUUCGGAAGUGCUUUUCUAUUACAGAAAGCUCUUUGUCUCAUGUAAGGGUUUUGAUUUGUGGAAUGUUACAAUCUGUGAGAUAGUUGAAAGCUGUUUGUUGAAGGAGGUUAGGAGCCGUUUGGCAUCUCAAGAGUAGUCUUUUGUUAAAGAGAACCUAACAAGACAGGAGGCAGAAACAAAGGCUAAGAACAUGGAGGAAGAGAUUUGUAGAUUGCAGAAGACAUUGGAGGAGAGGAAUGGACAGCUUGAGGCUUCAGCUUCUAAUACUGAGAAGGUAUUAAUUUUAAUGAAAUAAGGUCAUGAUUAACUAAUAACAAGGCUAUUUGCCAUGUUGGUUGAGUUGAUCUUGAAUAAUUAUGUUUUUUUUUUUUUUUUUUUUUUGGUUGCAUCUUUUGGGGUUGAAGUUAUCCCAUAAUCAUGGAUGAAUCGUGUUCUCAUCUUUUUUAUGCCUUUUGGGGUUUUCUUAUUGUUUUUUGGUGGGGAGAUCCCAGUAGAAGAAAGGUGACCAAGUGUUAAACAUAUUAUAAUGUUGUCUUGCCUUUAUUUGUAGCUUGAAUUAUUCAAAAAAAAUUUGUUGUUUAUAAAAGAGAUGGGAAAGCUUGGAAAAUGAAUUUAACUCACAAUUCAAACCAUUUAAAAUCAUUUGUUAGUUUUAGUAUUUUAGAAUGAAUUUACUUGGUUGAUGCUACUAUUAUAUUCCAACAUUUUUGUUGGUGUUUGUUCUGUUGGUGGAUAUUAAUGUUGGCAGUCUUUUCUGCUAAUUAUUUUUUAAAUUAGAAAAUAUGGGAUGAAUUUGGAGAGCCUGAUGUUGAAAGGGAUCAGACAAUAAUGGAGAUUGAACAGGAGUGCUUGGCAGUAUAUGGGAGAAAAAUAGAUGAGGCAAAAGCUUCUAGAGCUCAACUUCAGAGAGCAAUUGCUCUUUCUGAAUCUGAAAUUGCUAGUAUAUGUUCUUCAUUGGGGGAGAGCAACCUGUGAAUGUAUGUUCCUUUUGGAUUGAAGAAACAAGACUAAUGCUUUAACUAUACUUCUUAGUUAAUAUAGUGAAAUUUUUUAAGUGGUUGAUAAUUUGUAUGUGUUGGUUGAGGACUUCAGUGUGAUCGAAAGGCUGGUGGAAAUUUGAAGGAAAAACUUUAAAUCAUUAUUCCACAAUUGGAGGAUGUGCACCAGAGGAAGACACAGAGAGAGUCAAUUUGCUGAAGUGUUAAAUAAGUUACAGGAAAUAUCAAACCUGAUUAAUCUGUGAAAAGACUAGAAAGGAAUGUUGAAAAACUGCCUAAUCAUUUGAAUCCUUGUUGUGGAGUCUAUAAAUUAUACGCCCUCCAUUUAAACCAUAACGACUUACUUCAAUUUUGACUCUUUAGGCUCUAUCUCCUGAUAGUACACGUAUAAAACUGUGUCGAGCCCUUCCUGAAACAUAACUUCGUAUCUGACUUCAGUAUAUAAACGAACCCAGAGCAUACCAUUGGGAAGUGCUUCAGUAAUUAAACCUUCAUGAAUCCAUUCAUUUUUCUUCUUUCAUUCCAGGCAAAACCCCCUUGAAGUAUCAACUAAUGUAGGAGGAGUGAUAUUAGACAAUUACACGUGCAGUUAGUGGAUCUUUAAAGUGAAAAGGUUUGAUGCCCUAAUUUUUAUUUUCCUUUUUUCACUCCUGCUGUCAGAUUUGGAAAUGAAUGCUACAGAUUAGUUACUUUUAGCCGUCAUGUUUAUGUUAAGAUAGGUGAGAAAUUGCAUGUAAUUUAGAAUUAUUUUUUCCUGCAAACUUGAAGCUGUAAUAUCACAACGACGUACUAUGUAACUUAAUCUACGAUUGAGAAGUUGGCAAUGAAAAUUCGAAGUUUUCAAGACUCAAGAGGUCAAGAUACAGAAAACGCAGAAGGUUUGUACUGUGUAAAACUGUUUUACAAGUUUAUGAAAUGGGAAUUUAUUGUAAAUUUGAUGAGGAUGACGGAAUGGUUAUUAUGGUGUGUGAUUUUUGAAAA